rnacentral:lncRNA from 1 species
CACAGAUGAAGAUGACAUCUAUGGAAUCUUUUCCUUGCAAUUGAUGCAUUCUUUAGUCCAGUAAUAUCAUCUCACUUUGUAUCCAAGAGAUCCUCUCUGUUCAUGUAGAAUUCAGGUAAAGAAGUAUGAGUUACUGCCUCUGAGUUGGCCUGAUAUGGCAAGACUUUCAAGCCAAACACUACAAUGGAUGUGGAAUAAAUGAGCAACAGAUAUUGAAUUAAUAAAUAAACAUCACACUUUCUGAUGAGGCUGGAGGCUCUCACUUGAUAGCAGAGGAUAAAGAGAAGAAGAAAAGCAGG